GAUCUGGCUCAGGACGAACGCUGGCGGCGUGCCUAAUACAUGCAAGUAGAACGCUGAAGGAGGAGCUUGCUCUUCUGGAUGAGUUGCGAACGGGUGAGUAACGCGUAGGUAACCUGCCUGGUAGCGGGGGAUAACUAUUGGAAACGAUAGCUAAUACCGCAUAACAUUGACUAUUGCAUGAUAGUCAAUUGAAAGGUGCAAAUGCACCACUACCAGAUGG
rnacentral:rRNA from 1 species